GAUUUUCCGUGACGUUCGAAACCCCCCUAUCUUAGCGUAACUGGGUCCCGGAUGCCUUUGUGGGGGGACCAGUAAAAGGCGAUUUACAGAGCCUUGAAGUGAAGAUAGUGGACAAGUUGGCAUUACUCUCGCUUACUGUCGUGUGUGUAGAGAAUCUCAGAGGUUAUCCCAACUCAGUUCUGGGUGUCGGAGAUACCUCCUCGAGUGCAUACCAUGUCUGGACACAAACUUUGAGUGGGAGAGUGGCUUCAAUAAUUCCCACAGUGGCGGGCUGAAGAACAGCCGUUUUUUACAGUCUACACUGGGCUGGAACAUAAUUCUAUGCAGUAGAAAUUAUUCCCAGUUUACAGAUAAGAAUUCAGGGCCCAGGGAGGUUAGUAUCCUACAGCUGAUGAGCAGCAGAACUCUGGCUUCAAAACCCUUACACCUAUGUUUACCCCCUUGUUGACUUGCACGCAAAGGCUGGAGGCUGUGUGGGUGACUUUAACACUGAAGCCGCUGAACCUAGAUUUGACCUAUCUGGUGCUCGAGUGACCUCAUCCCAGAGAAAGACUCUUGUAGGUGCUGUCAUUUAUGUGGAUAGGGAAGCUGAGGGGUUCUCGCAGCUAACUCAGAGGUAGGAAAUGUUAGCACUGGCCACUACAUUUUGAAGAAUUUACAUAUGCCAUGAAAUAGGUGUUGUUAUUGUUUUCAUUAAGUGGAAAACUGAGGCUGAGGUGUUGAUACCUCGUUGGGAUCAUACAAAAUCUAUUUCUUCUCUUGACUUCCUGAAUACCAUGCCCUCCAGAUUCUCUUUAUUUUCACUGGCCACUCCUCUGUCUUUUGCACUUCUUUCCCAGUUGUUGAGGAAAGCCCCAGGCCAUAAUCCAUGAUUCUCUUUUCUGUCUUACUCUCACUUCGUAGGGGUGAUUUAGAAUAUCUUUAUGCAGAUGACUGCAAAAUGUCUCUCAUAUCUCUUCCCUGACCUCCAGUCACAUACCAGUAUCUCAGAUUCAACACGUCCUGCUCUAACAACCUAAUCACUAUAUUCCACCCUCAGGAGUGGCACCAUUGUUCAUUCAGUUUCCCAAGAACAAAAACUGAAAGAUGUCCUGGAUAUGCCUCUUAUUCCCAAAUGUCAUUUCUAGUUCCUGGGUAAGUCUUAUCAGUAUACCUUCAAAAUAUCAGAGAUCAGCUAGGCACAGUGGCCCACACCUGUAAUCCCAAUGACCUGGGAGGCUGAGGCAGGAGGAUUGCAAGUUCAAAGCCAGUCUCAGCAACUUGGCAAGACCCUAUCUCAAAUUAAAA
rnacentral:lncRNA from 1 species